rnacentral:rRNA from 1 species
CGAAAGUUAGAGGUUCGAAGGCGAUCAGAUACCGCCCUAGUUCUAACCAUAAACGAUGCCAACCAGCGAUCCGCCUGAGUUCCUCAAAUGACUCGGCGGGCAGCUUCCGGGAAACCAAAGUGUUUGGGUUCCGGGGGAAGUAUGGUUGCAAAGCUGAAACUUAAAGGAAUUGACGGAAGGGCACCACCAGGAGUGGAGCCUGCGGCUUAAUUUGACUCAACACGGGAAAACUUACCCGGCCCGGACACUGGUAGGAUUGACAGAUUAAGAGCUCUUUCUUGAUUCAGUGGGUGGUGGUGCAUGGCCGUUCUUAGUUGGUGGAGCGAUUUGUCUGGUUAAUUCCGAUAACGAACGAGACUCUAGCCUACUAAAUAGGCGUUCCGAUCCUUUAUGUCGGACGUUCUUCUUAGAGGGACAAGCGGCUUUUAGCCGCACGAGACAGAGCAAUAACAGGUCUGUGAUGCCCUUAGAUGUCCGGGGCCGCACGCGCGCUACACUGAAGGAAUCAGCGUGUGCUUUCCCUGUCUGGUAGGACUGGGUAACCCGUUAAACCUCCUUCGUGAUAGGGAUAGGGGCUUGUAAUUGUUCCCCUUGAACGAGGAAUUCCCAGUAAGCACGAGUCAUAAGCUCGUGUUGAUUACGUCCCUGCCCUUUGUACACACCGCCCGUCGCUACUACCGAUUGAAUGAUUUAGUGAGGUCUUCGGACUGGCGCUCGUAGCGACCUUUACGGCCGCGCCGACGUGCCGGAAAGAUGACCAAACUUGAUCAUUUAGAGGA